rnacentral:rRNA from 1 species
UGGGGAAUAUUGCACAAUGGGCGCAAGCCUGAUGCAGCCAUGCCGCGUGUAUGAAGAAGGCCUUCGGGUUGUAAAGUACUUUCAGCGGGGAGGAAGGCGGUGAGGUUAAUAACCUCACCGAUUGACGUUACCCGCAGAAGAAGCACCGGCUAACUCCGUUCCAGCAGCCGCGGUAAUACGGAGGGUGCAAGCGUUAAUCGGAAUUACUGGGCGUAAAGCGCACGCAGGCGGUCUGUCAAGUCGGAUGUGAAAUCCCCGGGCUCAACCUGGGAACUGCAUUCGAAACUGGCAGGCUAGAGUCUUGUAGAGGGGGGUAGAAUUCCAGGUGUAGCGGUGAAAUGCGUAGAGAUCUGGAGGAAUACCGGUGGCGAAGGCGGCCCCCUGGACAAAGACUGACGCUCAGGUGCGAAAGCGUGGGGAGCAAACAGG